rnacentral:rRNA from 1 species
UACGGAGGGGGCUAGCGUUGUUCGGAAUUACUGGGCGUAAAGCGCGCGUAGGCGGACCUGCAAGUCGGGGGUGAAAGCCCGAGGCUCAACCUCGGAACUGCCUUCGAUACUGCGGGUCUCGAGUCCGGGAGAGGUGAGUGGAAUUCCUAGUGUAGAGGUGAAAUUCGUAGAUAUUCGCAAGGACACCAGUGGCGAAGGCGGCUCACUGGCCCGAUACUGACGCUGAGGCACGAAAGCGUGGGGAGCAAACAGG